CCUACGGGAGGCAGCAGUGAGGAAUAUUGGUCAAUGGGCGUAAGCCUGAACCAGCCAAGUCGCGUGAGGGAUGAAGGUUCUAUGGAUCGUAAACCUCUUUUAUAAGGGAAUAAAGUGCGGGACGUGUCCCGUUUUGUAUGUACCUUAUCAAUAAGGAUCGGCUAACUCCGUGCCAUCAGCCGCGGUAAUACGGUGGAUGCAAGCGUUAUCCGGUUUUAUUUGGUUUAAAGGGUGGGUAGGCUGUGAGGUAAGUCAGCGGUGAAAUGCCCACGCUCAACGGGGUGAAGUGCCAUGGAUACUGCCUUGCUGGAAUGCGGAUGCGGUGGGAGGAAUGUGUGGUGUAGCGGUGAAAUGCGUAGAUAUCACACAGAACACCGAUUGCGAAGGCAUCUCACGAGUCCGCGAUUGACGCUGAUGCACGAAAGCGUGGGUAUCAAACAGGAUUAGAUACCCUUGUAGUC
rnacentral:rRNA from 1 species